AGUGAUGACAAGGGGAGCUUAUGUAUAGGCUGAGAGGAAGUUUAGAAACUUCGACCCGGAACCUGAUAUGGAUAAUGCCAUCGUAGGGAUGUAUUAGAUAUUACAG
rfam:Dorea sp. CAG:105 genomic scaffold, scf206